UGUCAAUUGGUUGGGUGCCCAUGGGUGUGACCCAGUCCAGACUGUGUUGGGUGGGUGUUGGGUGAACCCAUAACUUAAUGGUCCAGUUGGGCUACAAAACCGAAUUUGCCCAUGGAUAGUUUGGGCCAAACCAAUUGGUCACUGGGUUAACCCAAUACAUUAAAAAAUUAGGUUUUUUAAUUUUGGGGAAAAAUCAGAUUUUUCCAUUUUACGAUUCCCCGAUGAAAAAUCUUCUUCUCGCGAUGAAAGAUUCUUGAGGCUUCUCUGCAUUUCGAUUCGUCUUCUCCAACCAUGAUUUCUCUGGCCUGAACCAGAUUUCUCCAUUCUCUGCAUCUGACUUCUUCUUCUCGCGAUUUCAGUUUUGGAUCAGUCUACUUGUAAGAGAAGGUUGGCUAAUGUAAGAGAAGGUUGGCUACUUUUAGAAUAUUGUUUCUCAGUUUCCAGCAAUAGGUGAUGAGAAGACAGAAGAGGAGAAAGAGGAAGAAGAGAAAGAGAAGGAAAAAGAGGAAGAGAGUGGAGAGUCCACAGACUUGACUAGAGAUAGUGGAGAGAAGGCAUAGCGGAAUAACAACUGAGAUGAUGGAUGGAAGUUACAACAACCGUUAGAGAUAUUCAGGUUCAUGAGCUCCAUUUUUAACUUUUGUUUACAUACAAGUUAUGAGGCUUGAGUUAUAUUUUUUUUUUUACAUAAAACAGAGCUAUCAAAACCUUAAAAUUGUAUCCACAUUUUUUUACAUCAUAUUUGUAUUAGAGGUGAACAAAUACAAAUUAAACAUUCAGCAGAUUUGAGAGAUAAUUUUUUUUACAUUAAA